rnacentral:rRNA from 1 species
CACUCUAAAGGGACUGCCGGUGUUAAACCGGAGGAAGGUGGGGAUGACGUCAAGUCCUCAUGGCCUUUAUGACCAGGGCUACACACGUACUACAAUGGCCGAUACAAAGGGCAGCGACACUGCGAGGUGAAGCCAAUCCCGUAAAAUCGGUCUCAGUCCGGAUUGGAGUCUGCAACUCGACUCCAUGAAGUUGGAAUCGCUAGUAAUCGUGGAUCAGCAUGCCACGGUGAAUACGUUCCCGGGCCUU